AACGAGUUACCACCAUAGGGGGGUGGUGUUAGCACGGGUCUGGCACAGGGCAGGCAGAAUGCUUGCGUUGAGUGUUUGUUACUGUCACUACUAUGACAUCAUCAUGGCUGCUGCCACCUGCUGUAUUGCCUCGGACCCGGAGCUCCUCGAAGAACGUGUAAAGCCCACAAAGUCCCACGGCCGUUUUAACCAGAAUUUGACUACUCAUCCUUCUGUGGUUUUCUCUGCUGUCUCUGCCUUUAAGAGCUAAGUGGGAAUAGCCCAUUCCUGGGAAAGUCUCUACGGCCUCCGUCACCCACUGGAGAGAGUCCCAGGAGACGGCUGCCCUCAGCUACUUGUCCGGCACAGGGCUUUCCUCGGCCACGAUUUCGGCCACCUCCACAAACCUUAUGCUGCUGUUCCCUGGAGCAGAAUGUGUGCCAGUCACAGCUUCCCCCUGAGCUCCAGCCCUUCCAAAGUGGGGGAACCAGGGGCAAAUGAAUAGUUGGUUUACAUCCAUGUUUUUAAAAGACUCCAUGCUCGUGCUGCACAAGCGGGGACUCCUGCUUGCCGCCUGGGCGAUGCCUCUGACUCUCUCUGCCUCUCACCUCUGGAGGUGAGCCACAAGGUCUGAGCCCAGUAAAUGAUUAAGCCCUUCUUUGUUCCCA